CGAAGUAAUUUGUACCCACAACUACAGUCUAUAACUCAGUCCAGUCGCACCUAAAAUGGGAUGAGAAACGUAUUGGGCAAAAUUUCAGAAUGUAGAACAAAAAUUGACUAGUUUAAGGAGUUCAGUAGAGAAAUUGGCUUUAAAUGCAGCCAUGCUAUAAUUUCAAAGCUGUUUAUUUUUUAUUUGAAAAGAAAGAAAACAAGAAUGGCCAUGUGAUUUAAUUGUUUGUAACGAAAAUUAUUCUGGAUUAGCGCAAAACUUUCAUGCGAUGCCAGAAAACAUCUUCGUUCGUCUAGAGUUUGGAAUAUGCUUAGUGUGAAUAUGGAGUUGAGUACACAGAUGUUGGACAGAACACUAAAAACAAACAAAUAGACUUUUAAAUGAUACAAAUUAAAGACCUUUACAAAAUCUAACUAUAAAA